GACAGCGUGUGCAUGCAUGUGUGUGUGUGUGCGCAUGUGCCGACCCCACCACUGCCCCGUCUGUCUCCUGUCUCCAGGCCUCUGUGUCUUCCAUUGUCUGGGCCUCUCUGUCUCCCUGUCUCCCGGCCUCGACCUCUGUCUCUGUCUCCGGACCUCCCUGCCUCCCCACCUCCAGCUCUCUGUCUCCCUGCCCCUGCGGCCCCCCAGGGCCAGGGGUGUGGGGUCACCCAGCACUUCCUCCCCUCAGCACCCGAGAACCCCUCCUCAGCAGCUCUGAGAACGGCAAUGGUGGCCGAGAGACGUCUCCAGCUGAUGCCCGGACUGAGAGAAUCCUCAGUGACCUCCUGCCCUUCUGCAGA
rnacentral:sRNA from 1 species